UUAAAGAUAAGUUUUGAGAAGAUAUGGAGGGGUUGGUUCAAAGCAUACCACUUGAAGAAAAAAAUUUUAUCGGUGGACCCCGCGGAAUUUUCCUA